CGACGACUCUGGUAUUGAUUGGUGCUUGCAUCAUGAUUUACAUUUGAGUGAGUGGCGAACUGGUGAGUAACACGUGGGAAACCUGCCCAGAAGCGGGGGAUAACACCUGGAAACAGAUGCUAAUACCGCAUAACAACUUGGACCGCAUGGUCCGAGUUUGAAAGAUGGCUUCGGCUAUCACUUUUGGAUGGUCCCGCGGCGUAUUAGCUAGAUGGUGGGGUAACGGCUCACCAUGGCAAUGAUACGUAGCCGACCUGAGAGGGUAAUCGGCCACAUUGGGACUGAGACACGGCCCAAACUCCUACGGGAGGCAGCAGUAGGGAAUCUUCCACAAUGGACGAAAGUCUGAUGGAGCAACGCCGCGUGAGUGAAGAAGGGUUUCGGCUCGUAAAACUCUGUUGUUAAAGAAGAACAUAUCUGAGAGUAACUGUUCAGGUAUUGACGGUAUUUAACCAGAAAGCCACGGCUAACUACGUGCCAGCAGCCGCGGUAAUACGUAGGUGGCAAGCGUUGUCCGGAUUUAUUGGGCGUAAAGCGAGCGCAGGCGGUUUUUUAAGUCUGAUGUGAAAGCCUUCGGCUCAACCGAAGAAGUGCAUCGGAAACUGGGAAACUUGAGUGCAGAAGAGGACAGUGGAACUCCAUGUGUAGCGGUGAAAUGCGUAGAUAUAUGGAAGAACACCAGUGGCGAAGGCGGCUGUCUGGUCUGUAACUGACGCUGAGGCUCGAAAGUAUGGGUAGCAAACAGGAUUAGAUACCCUGGUAGUCCAUACCGUAAACGAUGAAUGCUAAGUGUUGGAGGGUUUCCGCCCUUCAGUGCUGCAGCUAACGCAUUAAGCAUUCCGCCUGGGGAGUACGGCCGCAAGGCUGAAACUCAAAGGAAUUGACGGGGGCCCGCACAAGCGGUGGAGCAUGUGGUUUAAUUCGAAGCUACGCGAAGAACCUUAC
rnacentral:rRNA from 2 species